rnacentral:lncRNA from 1 species
CAACAUUUCCAGACACCUAAACUGUGUUCUCUAAAACACGAGUGUAAAGUAAUUGUGUUUAACUUAUCUGGUGAACAAUCUUACUUUUCGUAAAACAUGAGUGAGUGAGUGAGUGAGUGAGUUAGUGAGUGAGUGAGUU